rnacentral:rRNA from 1 species
CUUUCUUUGCUGGCGACCGGCGCACGGGUGAGUAACACGUAUCCAACCUGCCCUUUACUCGGGGAUAGCCUUUCGAAAGAAAGAUUAAUACCCGAUAGUAUAAUGAUUCCGCAUGGUUUCAUUAUUAAAGGAUUCCGGUAAAGGAUGGGGAUGCGUUCCAUUAGGUUGUUGGUGAGGUAACGGCUCACCAAGCCUUCGAUGGAUAGGGAUUCUGAGAGGAAGGUCCCCCACAUUGGAACUGAGACACGGUCCAA